AUGGUUACCCAAGCUAAUCAGAAGAGGUGGAGAACCUAUUCAGUUUAGGAUUACAAAUGCAAUACGGUCUUUCUCUAAUACAAUACUCUUGACCACAUUGUUUUGGUUUGAUAGUUUAUUCAUGUCUACUAUCCAAUGUGAUUCGUGUGCUUAUAUGAUUACCUUGAAUGUGAUUUGGAACGACUUCCUAAAUCUCAUUCAUACUCUGGCCAGAGAUUCUUAAUCAUAUCAUAGAGUAUUCUCCUCCAAACGGUUUGAAGGUUAGAGAUCCCUUGUUGCGCAUUCACUUGCCUCCAUGGCUAAGUGGCUUAACCCCAACGAUGCCGUGGACACCCGCGGAUGGGGUGACUUUGACAUAAUCAAAGAUCAAGGACCUAACCACAAGACAACUAUGAUGCCUCAGGUCAAAGGACUACUUUGCAUUAUCCCAACCAUGAGUUCUCAUGUGACAUGAGUAUAUGAGAACUCUUCGUUGAUCGUGUUCAGUGAACUCAUUCUCUAUUGAGCACCUACGUACUUGUCUUGAUGUCACACACACCAAUGACUCGAGACUAGUCACUCUCCCUGAGAGAAGACACAGCACGUACUGAUCUUAACGGACUGUCAAUGCCCAAUUGGCAAUCCUAUGAUCAGGAACGUUUAGGAUGUGUCUACGAAAGAAUGGUCUCAUGAAUCUAACUUCUUUAGAUCGCAUUCUCCCAAUCACAUAUUCCUUGGACUUAUCGUUUAAGCAUAUAACAUUUAUAUGAGACGGCUCAAACAAUAAUCUUUGCCCUUGAUAUUAAACUAGAUUAGUUUAACAUGUGAAAUGUCCGUAAAGUAUCAUCAUAUGAUUGGUUUUAGGGCACAUUUCCAACAAUCUCCCACUUGCACUAGAGCCAAUCAGCUUGGUCAUCAGUGAUGAUACCUCUUCUGUAGUCAUUUCAUAAAUGGCUGAGUAGUAGGCCUAGACAAUGGAUAUCUAUAUGUUAUCCAUAGAAGCAACCUUGAGAAUAACGACGUCACCAUUAUACAUGAUUCUCAAUCAUGUGGUUCAGUCUCUCAUUUGAGUUCGGAUCUUGAUGAGACCUUGAUUCCCUGGCUUGAGCUAUCGCCCCAUUAGUGUCGUAGUGUCGGUACACUAGAGACACUUUCUGGUUGGAACCGAAUAGAGAGUUCAUAAAUGAACUUUCCCAUCCAAACAACAUUGUUGUAAGCUUCUAUAUGGCAAUAUAUUUUGCAUUCAUAAUGGAACACACUAAAGUCAUUACUUUUAAUGUUUCCAUCCAAAUAUCUCUUUAGUCAUAAUAAAGAGAUAUCUGAUUAUCUCUUCAUUCAUAAUGAAGAAACAUCCAAUGAUGGAUUAGAUUCAUAAUCUAAUACAUUUACGCUUCCUUUACGUUACUCUAAUUCUUCCUCAUUCUUUGAGGAAUCUAUCCUUUAGUAUUUCUUAAAUACUUAAGGGACUCACUUGACAGUUGCCAUGGUUCUGAUCCUGGGCUUGCAUUGAUAUUGUCUUGUACCGAUCUAGGUACAAUUCAUAUCAAUGUUUUUCAUACAAUAUGAAAUACAUAAAUCACCUUUCUGCGUAUGCAUAAAGGAUUCUAUUUACGCAUUAUGUUUCUUUAGGAGUCAAAAAGGUACGUUUGAGAAGAGCUACCUCCUAGUCUUAGUAGAGUUGUUCUUCUGAUUGAAGUUUAUCAUCAUAUGAGAAACUUCCUAGCAUCUUUUGUCUAUUAUUAGGGAUUGAUAUAAUCCAAUUAUAUCUUGAAAUAUAUCAUUAUAGAUUUCCAUCCCAUGUAUAUAGACUAUGUCUCCCAUAUCCAUUCUAUCGUUAUAGAAUGUUUAAAGUCAUAACUUUAACGAAGAAGUAUUCUUUUCAUUUCCAAAAUUAAUAUAUCAUAUAUGUGUGUAUAUAUAUAUAUAUAUAUAUAUUUAUUUAAAUUUAGGAACAUGAUUAACUCCCACUAAUCUUUUGUAAACCUAGUAAACAAAAGAUUCAUUUACAUCUUUAUGAGAAAUCAAACGAUUUGAUCUUUCUCUCAUAAGACGUUUAUAGCUCCCACUAGCUUGCUAAGAUCCAUGAUGGAUGGAUCUCUACAACUUACAUGUCUUGUGAUUCAUAGUUUUAGACAUAUAUAUUAUCAAGACUAUCUUAAUAAUGGUUUCGGAAACCCAUAUAAUGUCCAAACAUUGAAUCACCAUUUAGUUGUAGCUAGCAAUCUUCGAAUUAAUUGAAAACAAGACUACGUCAAAGAUGGUUUCUUCAAAGUCAACCAAUUUCUUUGAUUGUAGUCACCUUAAGCUACCAAUUAGCUAUAAAGGUUUCAUUAUUUCGGGUCAAAUGGUACUUUACCAUUUCCUUGAGUAUAUGUCAUAUAUACACUCAACGUAGUCAUAAGGAUUCUCAUUCUUAUUUCUUUCGAAUUAAGUGGUGUAACUCUAUGACAUAGUCAUAAAGUUCAAACCAUUCAACUGAGACAGUUUAUAAAUCCUUCUCGACUACCUUGGAGCUUUUGGUAUAGGAACUAGGUUGUUAUAUUUGUUGAUCACUAACUUGUUUCUCAAAGAACCCAUUCUUUGAGUUCUAUCCCUCGUUCAUUUGCUCUUUGGCAAACCAUAUUGUAGGAUUACAAUGAACUACCGAACAAACAACAUUUGUUAGUUGGGUUAUAGAAGUGGUAUCCAAAUGUUAAUAUAAGGAUACCCACAAGAUAAUUCUUUAAACACAUAUUGCUUGUUUAGCACACAACCCCAAAUCUUAACACGAUUAAGACUUGUCUUUCUUUCCAACUACAUCUUAUGGAGUCAUGAAAAUUUUGGAAGAUCUUUCUAAUUGACAAUCAUAUUGUCUUAGAAGCAUAUAUCCUAUAUAUGGGUAAUUGAUAACAUCCAACGAACUAAAUCUUAUUCAAGUUCGUUCUUCUCCUAAUGGAGAAAUCCAUUAUCUUUUGAUGCUUCUUUCCUUGAUAUUUUCAAGGAAACUGUUCUAAAGUGUUAUCUUUCCUUGGAUCAAAUCUAAGGAGGCAAAUACUUUAGACGUCUUACUCAUCAACUUACAUUUCUUGAAUUCUUUGAAACCUUUUGCAAAGUAUUCGGACUUGUGUUUAUUCAAAAUAAACUAUAGUCCAACCGAGAGUGAUCUUCGGUGAAUGUCAUACAACAUGAGUAGUAUUAUGUUGUGGACAAGUGCCACUAACAUCUAAGUGAAUUAACCUCAACAACUUUGUGAUUCUUUCUUCUUUCCAAAAGAAUAAAGAUUCGAACAUUUCGCCUCUAUACAAUUUUAAUAAGAAGGUGUUGGAUCCGGAUCUAACGAUCCAAAGCAUCCAUCUAUGACCAACUCGUAUUUUAUGUUUUUGAGGUAUCACAACUCAGUUGGGAUUAGUCACUACCUUGCAACCUUUGGGGUUUUAAGCAUCAUUAUAUUCAAAACAGUUAACACUAAUAAAGAACAAUGUUUUGCCAAACAAAACAUUCAUCCAUCUCUACUAUAGUGACGGAAUUAAGUUCCUUAAAAUUGGAAUGUAAAGACAAUCUUUGGUUUUUCCAAUUUCUUUGGUAGUUCAUAUGGGGAAGUAAGUACUAUCUGCUUUCGCAAAGAUCUUUAUUUUAUUCACAUUCCGAAUGUGAAGCACCUUUUUCUUCUCUCAUAUAUCUUCUACUUUUUAUUAGUCACACUUUUACAACGAUUGUAAAACAUAGUUACUAAUACGGAAUCAAGCAUUCAAGUAGAAGAACCAACUAUUUUGAACCAUUCAAGAACAAUUUACAACACUUUCGAAAGGUGUGUUCUUUGACACUUGCAAGACAUUUCUUGCAAAUACCCCUUCCAAUGUCCAUCAUUUCAUAAAGAAAGUUUGUUCCCUUGGAGUUAUUUCGCUUUCUUCAUUUGACUUCUCCUUUGUCUACAAUAGUCAUGGUCCCUAAACUCCCACUGUCUCUCUUGAAACUUAUUUCAAUUGUGUUAUACACAUCAAACGAUUUGGAGAGCGUGUGGUUAUUGUUCACUAUAUAGUUUACAAUAAACUUAGUGAACCAUUUGGAUAGGGACACAAAGGUGAAGUCCUUGCCUAGUUUCCGCUUCUAGAAGUGGUGUAACACUUUAACACUCAAUGAUUCAAAAUCAUCAUAAGUCCAUGUUGAUGGACUAUUUUUGUCAACCAACCAUUAUGUUCUAAACAUAAUUACAAACUUUCAAGAGUUGUUCAAGGCAACUCUCAUUUCUUCAUACAACAAUUUGUAAGUGAAGGAUUAUGGCACAUAAAGUGUCCAUGCCUUUGUGCUUUCUUCUUAAGUUCCUUGUUCAUGUAACAAAGAAACAAGCACUAAUGUUUGUGUUAGUUAAGGGUUGUUCAAAGCAACUCUUAUUUCUUCAUACAACGAUUUGUAAUUGAAGAAUUAUGACUUUAAAAGUGUUGUCCUCUUUAUGAUAGACUUAUCUAACAUGUUCUUCCAAUGGUACAUUAUCAAUAGGAAGAUUGUGAGGAUGAGACUACUUAGGUACAUUUACAAUCCAUUUAAGACAAUCUUUGGGAUUGUUGUACCAAGUCCGGAAACUAAAGCAUUCGGUUUUCUUUGUCAAGUUUUGGAUAGCGUUUGCAAAUAUAUUGGUAAACAAAUACAUAACGAAUAUAAAUUGAUUGAUUUUAAGCCAUUUGAUCCGGGUCUUUAAAUCAAAUAGCACCACCCACUAUUUUUGGCAAAUUCCAUAUCCCUCAUUGGAAUUCGAGAGUUUUGGAGGAAACUCUUAGUAGGGUAUGGGAGACUCACUACUACCAAGCCCACCUCACAAUGAUAUGAUGUUGGCUAGCAUUAAUAAUAAUGAGAGAGUACGCUUACUCAUUUGCAUCUCUUGCAAGUACCCAUCUUAUUUGGCCUCUAGAGAAUGUAGCCUCACAAUGAUAUGAUGUUGGCUCCAUUGCACUUAGUUAAGUCAUUCCCACCAUGCAAGUUCGGGUAGGGGUUCAAGAACAACCUCACAAUGAUAUGAUGUUGGCUAUUCUCGUUGCCUACCUUUCACAACAUCAAAUAUGCAUAUAGACUCCUCCUGAGUGUAAGCACGCACUUUGUACUCCCCCAUGAUAGGGUGAAGCCGAUGUACGAGUCACAAACGAUCGGAGCCUACCACGGUGGAAGGCCACGAAAGAGUGUUCAAAGCACUCUCACGCUUCUCAACUUAAUAAUGGUUUGGUUGAGGGUUUUUAGGUCUCAUCACAUAUAAAUAUUCAUUUUAAUCUUUAUUAAAACAAUUUUGGUCCUAUUACAACUAUUGGUCCAUUUGAUUGAAUUUAGUUGUAUAUAAUACUCUCACUAUGCUUAUAAAACGGUUUUUAAAGCAAGAGUAUACUACUAACAUAAACUUUGCAUUCAUUUGAUGGACUAUAUAGUUGCCUUAGGGCCUUAGGAUGACUAUGAACCUUUGUUUAGAUUCAACACGAGCAUAGUGUUGAAUCUCGGUCUAGGGAUGGUGAUUGAUUUUAGUUACGCGGUUUAAUCACAUUAAGGCGUGUUGUCUUAGGGGCGUUGGACGCUCUACUCCAAAAUUUCAACAAAUACAAAAACAUCAUUAAAGGAGCAAAACAAUUUGUCCUUUAGCGUUUUUGGACCUAUACGUAAAAACGUAAACUUUUGGGCCAAAGUGCAAAUACACAAAAGUAUCAAAACUUUAUGUAAUUGCAUAAAAGCCCCAAAAGUACCCUAUUUUAAUAGGGUGGCCGGUUUUAGAGAGAAGGGAGUGAUGUGUGUGUUGAUUUGUAGGUUUAGACAUAAAGCAUGGAAGUGGUGCAUGACAUAAAUGUCAUGCAAGUGGUGUGUGUGAAAGGGAAUUAAUCCUUACACACCCACCAAUAUUUCUUACACCUUUCUAAUAAAUAUCUAAAACACUUAAACAUAUGAAAAACAUAAAACAUAAACUUUAUGAAAUAAAUCAAAACUUUGAAUAAAAACACCAAACUUUUUGUUCUUGGCAAAAAUGUCAAGAACAAUGAAGAACACUCAUGAAAAACUCAAAAAAUUUCCAUGAACAUUUUUCACCCAAAAACAUCCCAAAACCAUUCAAACUUAAGGGAAAUAACAUAUAACCAAACUAGGGUACAUAGGGGUUCCAAAAGUUACUUGAAAACAUUUUUAACAAGUCAAACAAGAACCCUAAAAUCCACCCUUUGGAUUUGGCCGAAAAUUCCCAAAAACAUGGCACCAAAUUUUAGCUCCAAUAUUCAUGCUCAUAUGAACUACAUCUACAACAUUUGAGAUGGCAAAUUUUAUAACAAAAUUUACAUUCAAAGAAGCAAGAAUAAAGCUUGUAACAAUUACAACAUUCAAAUCAUAAACUAUGAUAAUACAAAACCCAAAAGGAUUCACCAACUACUAGACCUAGGCUCUGAUACCACUUGAAGGAAAUUUUGUGAAAAACAUGUUCAUUUGAGCAACAUCUAUAGCAUGCAAUAAACAAAUUAAAGGCGGAAUCAUGCUUGCAUGCACUCAAAACAAAACAUUACCCAUUAAAUUCAAAGCCUAGUAGAUUGGUGAACCUUGACUCAACUUAAAACAACAUUUGUUAGUUGAGAAAUUAUACCUUUGUAGAUUCCUCUUUGCAUAAGCAAAGGCUAAUCACCCAAAGAGAGGGCCUUCAUUCCUUGCAUCUUAGAUCUAUGGAUUUGGAUGGAUGAAAUGGUUCUCCAAGUUCCCAAAAUUGAGAACCUCUAAGUCUCUUAACCAAGGUUAGAUUGGAGAAGAAAUGAAUGACCUUGGAGUAGUAGGAUUGCUAGCUAAACCCUCCAAGGAGGCCGGCCACUUUAGAGAGAAAGGAGAGCUUAUGUUCUCAUCCUUUCCCCAAAAGAAAACCCUAAAUGAAUUUUGGCUAUAAAGUCAUAUUUAUACCUUAAUUCAUUGGAGUGGCAAACUUGUAAAUAAGUCCAAAACUCACUCCAUCUCUAAAUGGCCAGGCUUAGGUAUUAUUGGGCUAAUUGGGCCUUUGUGAAUCAUUAUUCAUUAAGUUGUCAUACAACUUAAGUCAAUGGGCUUGACGUUCAAAGCCCAUGGGCCUUAAGGUCCAAAACUAUCCCGAGGUCUUUAACGAACUUAUUCGUUUGUUAAUUAACAUAUUAAUUAAUCUUUGCCAUAAAUAAUUAAACCAUUUAAUUAUUCUUACUCAUCUCCAUUGUUUCUUCAAUCCCCACCUUACACGGUGUACGAUCCAUUAGGUUCCUUUUAGCGAGGCAGUGGGCGAUUAAAACCAUUUCAAAUCGAUUGUGAAUUGCAACUUACUUUCAAUUCUCCCUUUAGUGAUUAUACACAUUUAGGGCUUCCACAAACCACGAGUGACACCUAGCAGCAUAUCAUGGUUACCCAAGCUAAUCAGAAGAGGUGGAUAACCUAUUCAGUUUAGGAUUACAAAUGCAAUACGGUCUUUCUUUAAUACAAUACUCUUGACCACAUUAUUUGGUUUGAUAGUUUAUUCAUGUCUACUAUCCAAUGUGAUUCGUGUGCUUAUAUGAUUACCUUGAAUUUGAUUUGGAACGACUUCCUAAAUCUCAUUCAUACUCUGGCCAGAGAUUCUUAAUCAUAUCAUAGAGUAUUCUCCCCCAACCGGUUUGAAGGUUAGAGAUCCCUUGUUGCGCAUUCA
rnacentral:lncRNA from 1 species